rnacentral:rRNA from 1 species
GAUGAACGCUAGCGGCAGGCUUAACACAUGCAAGUCGAGGGGUAGAGCACUUCGGUGCUUGAGACCGGCGCACGGGUGCGUAACGCGUAUGCAAUCUACCUUUUACAGAGGGAUAGCCCAGAGAAAUUUGGAUUAAUACCUCAUAGUAUAGUAUAAUCGCAUGAUUUAACUAUUAAAGUCACAACGGUAAAAGAUGAGCAUGCGUCCCAUUAGCUAGUUGGUAAGGUAACGGCUUACCAAGGCAACGAUGGGUAGGGGUCCUGAGAGGGAGAUCCCCCACACUGGUACUGAGACACGGACCAGACUCCUACGGGAGGCAGCAGUGAGGAAUAUUGGACAAUGGGCGCAAGCCUGAUCCAGCCAUGCCGCGUGCAGGAUGACGGUCCUAUGGAUUGUAAACUGCUUUUGUACGGGAAGAAACAACUCUACGUGUAGAGUCUUGACGGUACCGUAAGAAUAAGGAUCGGCUAACUCCGUG